UACGGAGGGUGCAAGCGUUAUCCGGAUUCGCUGGGUUUAAAGGGUGCGUAGGUGGGCAGGUAAGUCAGUGGUGAAAUCUCUGGGCUUAACUCAGAAACUGCCAUUGAUACUAUCUGUCUUGAAUACCGUGGAGGUCAGCGGAAUAUGUCAUGUAGCGGUGAAAUGCUUAGAUAUGACAUAGAACACCAAUUGCGAAGGCAGCUGGCUACACGAAUAUUGACACUGAUGCACGAAAGCGUGGGGAUCAAACAGG
rnacentral:rRNA from 1 species